UGUUCUUCCGCGUCCCAGUGGGCAGGGACUUGCGGAGCCGACGCGCGGGGGUUCCAGGGGUUGGCAAAGUGCCAGGAUGCGGCGAAGGAUGGAGCGAGGUGGGGUCGAGCGCAGGCGUAGACGGCGAAGGCAUAGUGUACAGGUCGUCGAAGCUCGUCGAGGCGGGCGCGACAGAAUGACUCUUGGUCGCAUCGAGCAUGCCGUAACCGCCACCGAACAGUACUCCGCCGUCCAUGUCGGGGAAGGUGUCGGCAUCGAAGAUGGCGGGGCUCGUAAGCAAGCCGGCAGACAUGUCAGCUGAACCGAGCGCAGG
rnacentral:misc_RNA from 1 species